UAAGGGAUAUUGCGCAAUGGGCGAAAGCCUGACGCAGCAACGCCGCGUGCCCGAUGAAGGCCUUCGGGUCGUAAAGGGCUUUUAGGGCUGAAGAGAACGGACGGUAAGCCCGGAAGAAGUGUCGGCUAACUACGUGCCAGCAGCCGCGGUAAAACGUAGGACGCAAGCGUUAUCCGGAGUUACUGGGCGUAAAGGGCAGGCAGGCGGGUCGAUAAGUCGGAUGUGAAAUCUCCCUGGCUUAACCGGGAGGGUGCAUUUGAGACUGUCGAGCUGGAGGGCAGCAGAGGAGCGUGGAAUUCCGGGUGGAGUGGUGAAAUGCGUAGAGAUCCGGAGGAACACCAGAGGCGAAAGCGGCGCUCUGGGCUGCACCUGACGCUGAACUGCGAAAGCCAGGGGAGCGAACGGG
rnacentral:rRNA from 1 species